GCACGCAUGUCUAAGUAUAAACAGUAAUACAGUAAAACUGCAAAUGGCUCAUUAAAACAGUUAUAGUUUACUUGAUAAUAAGUUUUUACAUGGAUAACCGUGGUAAUUCUAGAGCUAAUACAUGAGCAAAAUCUUAACUUUUUUAGGAGAGAUGCAUUUAUUAGAUAAAAAAUCAAUACAUGCUUUUAAAGUAUGGAAUUUGGUGAAUUACAAUAACUCAGCAAAUCGCAUAGUGAAAACCGGCGAUAAAUCAUUCAAGUUUCUGACCUAUCAGCUUUCGACGGUAUGGUAUUGGCUUACCGUGGCAGUGACGGUUAACGGGGGAUUAGGGUUCGAUUCCGGAGAGGGAGCCUGAGAAACGGCUACCACAUCUAAGGAAGGCAGCAGGCGCGCAAAUUACCCAAUUCUAACAGCAUAAGAGAGGUAGUGACAAGAAAUAACAAUACAAGGCAGUUAAAAUGCUUUGUAAUUGGAAUGAUAGAAAUUUAAACACUUUUUAAAGUAUCAAUUGGAGGGCAAGUCUGGUGCCAGCAGCCGCGGUAAUUCCAGCUCCAAUAGCGUAUAUUAAAAUUGUUGCAGUUAAAAAGCUCGUAGUUGAAUUUCUGCUAAAAAUAACCGGUCUGCUUUUAAUAAAGGUGGUAUCUUGGUGUGUUUUUAGCAAUAAUGUCCUUUGAAAUGUUUUUUACUUCAUUGUAAUAAAUUAUAUUUAGGAUUUUUACUUUGAGAAAAUUAGAGUGUUUCUAGCAGGCUAAUGCUUUGAAUACUGCAGCAUGGAAUAAUAAAAUAGGAUUUUGGUUCUACAUUAUUGGUUUUAAGAGCUAAAUUAAUGAUUGAUAGGGACAGUUGGGGGCAUUUGUAUUUAACUGUCAGAGGUGAAAUUCUUAGAUUUGUUAAAGACAAACUACUGCGAAAGCAUUUGCCAAAGAUGUUUUCAUUAAUCAAGAACGAAAGUUAGGGGAUCGAAGACGAUCAGAUCCCGUCGUAGUCUUAACUAUAAACUUUGCCGACUAGAGAUUGAAGUCGUCUUUUAACGNUCCUUCACNCCUUACGAGAANUCAAGUCUUGGUUCUGGGGGAGUUGGUCCANGCUGAACCUAAAGAAUUGNCGAGGNCCCCCCGCGNGNNCCUGGGCUAAUUGCUCACNCGGGAACNCCCCGNCCGNUUAAAGNUGCANUGNAGCNUUUUUAUUUUGGGGGGGGCAGGCCUUUNUUGGGGGGAUUNNNGUANUCCUACAACNANCUUCNGUANNGGGGANNUUUNUAAAUUUUUAAGNCUUGGUNCCNGGAUUUGGAANNGGUGGNCCUAUUUGGGCCCCCCAAGGCCCCAUUNCCNGGNNNUNNUUUGGCGGGGGANUUNUUUNUCNGCCNNCCCCNG
rnacentral:rRNA from 1 species